GCGGGUGUAGCUCAGCGGUAGAGUGCUUGCUUAGCAUGUGCAAGUCCCUGGGUUCAGUCCCCAGCACUGCA
rnacentral:tRNA from 1 species